rnacentral:rRNA from 1 species
AGAGUUUGAUCCUGGCUCAGGACGAACGCUGGCGGCGUGCCUAACACAUGCAAGUCGAACGGAGGUUUCAUUGAAACUUAGUGAUAUGAGACCUUAGUGGCGGACGGGUGAGUAACGCGUGGAUAACCUGCCUAUCUGACCGGGACAACACCGGGAAACUGGUGCUAAUACCGGAUACGCUUAUCGGAAUACAUGUUCUGAUAAGGAAAGGAGCAAUCCGCAGACAGAUGGGUCCGCGUCCCAUUAGCUAGUUGGCGGUGUAACAGACCACCAAGGCGACGAUGGGUAGCCGGCCUGAGAGGGUGACCGGCCACACUGGAACUGAGACACGGUCCAGACUCCUACGGGAGGCAGCAGUGGGGAAUCUUCCGCAAUGGGCGAAAGCCUGACGGAGCAACGCCGCGUGAGUGAUGAAGGCCUUCGGGUUGUAAAACUCUGUCUUCAGGGAAGAAAAAAAUGACGGUACCUGAGGAGGAAGCCCCGGCUAACUACGUGCCAGCAGCCGCGGUAAAACGUAGGGGGCGAGCGUUGUCCGGAAUUACUGGGCGUAAAGGGCGCGUAGGCGGCUUGAGAAGUCGCAGGUGAAAUCCCGUGGCUCAACCGUGGAACUGCCUGCGAAACCAUCGGGCUUGAGGACAGGAGAGGGAAGCGGAAUUCCUGGUGUAGCGGUGAAAUGCGUAGAUAUCAGGAGGAACACCAGUGGCGAACGCGGCUUUCUGGCCUGGUCCUGACGCUGAGGCGCGAAAGCUAGGGGAGCAAACAGGAUUAGAUACCCUGGUAGUCCUAGCUGUAAACGAUGGGCACUAGGUGUUGGGGGGUUCAUACCCUUCAGUGCCGUAGGUAACCCAAUAAGUGCCCCGCCUGGGGAGUACGGUCGCAAGACUGAAACUCAAAGGAAUUGACGGGGGCCCGCACAAGCGGUGGAGCAUGUGGUUUAAUUCGAUGCAACGCGAAGAACCUUACCAGGGUUUGACAUGUCGGUGGUACGGAGUGGAAACACGAAGGACCCUUCGGGGAGCCGGUACAGGUGGUGCAUGGUUGUCGUCAGCUCGUGCCGUGAGGUGUUGGGUUAAGUCCCGCAACGAGCGCAACCCUUACUUCUAGUUGCCAGCGGGUUAAGCCGGGCACUCUAGAGGGACUGCCGUCGACAAGGCGGAGGAAGGUGGGGAUGACGUCAAAUCAUCAUGCCCUUUAUACCCUGGGCUACACACGUGCUACAAUGGCCGGUACAGCGGGAAGCUAAGGCGUGAGCUGGAGCAAAUCCCAAAAAGCCGGUCCAAGUUCGGAUUGCAGGCUGCAAUUCGCCUGCAUGAAGUCGGAAUCGCUAGUAAUCGCAGGUCAGCAUACUGCGGUGAAUACGUUCCCGGGCCUUGUACACACCGCCCGUCACACCACGAAAGCGAGCAACACCCGAAGCCGGUGAGCUAACCGUAAGGAGGCAGCCGUCGAAGGUGGGGUUGGUGAUUGGGGUGAAGUCGUAACAAGGUAACC